rnacentral:rRNA from 1 species
ACUUUAUACUGUGAAACUGCGAAUGGCUCAUUAAAUCAGUUAUCGUUUAUUUGAUAGUACCUUACUACAUGGAUACCUGUGGUAAUUCUAGAGCUAAUACAUGCUGAAAACCUCGACUUCGGAAGGGGUGUAUUUAUUAGAUAAAAAACCAAUGCCCUUCGGGGCUCCUUGGUGAAUCAUAAUAACUUAACGAAUCGCAUGGCCUUGCGCCGGCGAUGGUUCAUUCAAAUUUCUGCCCUAUCAACUUUCGAUGGUAGGAUAGUGGCCUACCAUGGUGGCAACGGGUAACGGGGAAUUAGGGUUCGAUUCCGGAGAGGGAGCCUGAGAAACGGCUACCACAUCCAAGGAAGGCAGCAGGCGCGCAAAUUACCCAAUCCCGACACGGGGAGGUAGUGACAAUAAAUACUGAUACGGGGCUCUUUUGGGUCUCGUAAUUGGAAUGAGUACAAUCUAAAUCCCUUAACGAGGAACAAUUGGAGGGCAAGUCUGGUGCCAGCAGCCGCGGUAAUUCCAGCUCCAAUAGCGUAUAUUAAAGUUGUUGCAGUUAAAAAGCUCGUAGUUGAACCUUGGGUCUGGCUGGCCGGUCCGCCUCACCGCGAGUACUGGUCCGGCUGGACCUUUCCUUCUGGGGAAUCUCAUGGCCUUCACUGGCUGUGGGGGGAACCAGGACUUUUACUGUGAAAAAAUUAGAGUGUUCAAAGCAGGCCUUUGCUCGAAUACAUUAGCAUGGAAUAAUAGAAUAGGACGUGCGGUUCUAUUUUGUUGGUUUCUAGGACCGCCGUAAUGAUUAAUAGGGAUAGUCGGGGGCGUCAGUAUUCAGCUGUCAGAGGUGAAAUUCUUGGAUUUGCUGAAGACUAACUACUGCGAAAGCAUUCGCCAAGGAUGUUUUCAUUAAUCAGGGAACGAAAGUUAGGGGAUCGAAGACGAUCAGAUACCGUCGUAGUCUUAACCAUAAACUAUGCCGACUAGGGAUCGGACGGUGUUUCUAUUAUGACCCGUUCGGCACCUUACGAGAAAUCAAAGUUUUUGGGU